CGGCGUGCCUAAUACAUGCAAGUCGAACGGUCUUUCUAUGGAAGCUUGCUUCCACUGAGAAGAUAGUGGCGAACGGGUGAGUAACACGUGGGUAACCUGCCCAUAAGAGGGGGGAUAACAUCCGGAAACGGGUGCUAAUACCGCAUAGUUUUCUUGAUCGCAUGAUCGGGAAAGGAAAGACGGCCUUUGUGCUGUCGCUUAUGGAUGGACCCGCGGCGUAUUAGUUAGUUGGUGAGGUAACGGCUCACCAAGACGAUGAUACGUAGCCGACCUGAGAGGGUGAUCGGCCACAUUGGGACUGAGACACGGCCCAAACUCCUACGGGAGGCAGCAGUAGGGAAUCUUCCGCAAUGGACGAAAGUCUGACGGAGCAACGCCGCGUGAGUGAAGAAGGUCCUUCGGAUCGUAAAACUCUGUUGUCAGAGAAGAACAAGUUGGAGAGUAACUGCUCCAGCCUUGACGGUAUCUGACCAGAAAGCCACGGCUAACUACGUGCCAGCAGCCGC
rnacentral:rRNA from 1 species